rfam:Cicer arietinum chromosome Ca1, whole genome shotgun sequence.
UGAAUGGUUUUCUUUAAAACCAUAAAUAGAAAGCUAUAAAACCAG